rnacentral:rRNA from 1 species
AAUCAACGCUGGCGGCGUGCCUAACACAUGCAAGUCGAACGCGAAAGCCCGCAAGGGUAAGUAGAGUGGCGCACGGGUGAGUAACACGUGGACAACCUGCCUUCGAGUGGGGAAUAACCUUCCGAAAGGGGGGCUAAUACCGCAUAAAACCUCGGAACACAAGUUCUGGGGUUGAAAAGAGCAAUUUGCUCGAAGAGGGGUCCGCGCCUGAUUAGCUAGUUGGUGAGGUAACGGCUCACCAAGGCUCGAUCAGUAGCCGUCCUGAGAGGGAGCACGGCCACACUGGAACUGAGACACGGUCCAGACUCCUACGGGAGGCAGCAGUGGGGAAUUUUUGGCAAUGGGCGAAAGCCUGACCAAGCAACGCCGCGUGGGUGAUGAAGUAUCUUGGUACGUAAAACCCUUUCGGCAGGGACGAACCUAAUGACGGUACCUGCGGAAGAAGCCCCGGCUAACUCCGUGACAGCCGCCGCUGUAAG